rnacentral:lncRNA from 1 species
UUGAGGUUAGCACCAGAUAUAACCCUCCGGUGGGAUCGGCGGGUAAGGGGUUGGUUUUGGCUCGAAUACACGGCCAGACGGGUAAGUUUUCGACCGUAGGACAGGAAACGGUUGAUAUUUUUCUGUCCCAGAGUGAUUGACUGACCGUGUCACUUUGGAACCAGUUUAGUCCAAGUUUUUCUCUUUUAUUAUUUGAUCAAUUCAAUGCUGUUUCUGUGGUGUUUGAUUCUGUGAUUAAAGCUUGAUAUCCAACAGUCUUGAUGAUGUCUCUAGAUGGUGUAAGAUCACUCCGGUGAUCAUUAUGUCUGUC